AUCCUAUGAUGGCAUGAAAUCUUUGAGACCUGAUUUAUUUAUUGAUGAAAAGCUAUAAGCAUUUUUACACUGAGGAUU
rfam:Eutrema salsugineum unplaced genomic scaffold scaffold_13, whole genome shotgun sequence.